UCAAGGUAAUAAGGGCAUACGGUGGAUGCCUUGGUCGUAGGAGGCGAAGAAGGGCGCGGCAAGCUGCGAAAAGCCACGGUAAGGUGCAAGCGACCGAAGAGCCGUGGGUACCCGAAUGGGGAAACCCGGUGAGUGGAGACACUCAUCAUCCCGAGAGGGAGGCGAACCCGGUGAAGUGAAACAUCUCAGUAGCCGGAGGAAAAGAAAGCGAAGCGAUAGCGUGAGUAGUGGUGAGCGAAAGCGCUGGAGUCCAAACCGAAGACGUGUCAAGCGCGCGGGCGUUGCGUCUUUGGGGUAGCGGGACGUUCGGGGGGGGACUGCGCGAACCCACUCAGACGGAAGGUGUUUAGGAGAAAUCCAUGGGAAGGGAUACCGAAGAAGGUGAAAGUCCUGUAACCGAAAAGCACCGAAGGUGAGGAACGAUCCCAAGUAGUGCCGGGCACGUGAAAUCCGGUAUGAAUCAGGGGAGACCACUCUCCAAGACUAAAUACUCCUACGGACCGAUAGUGAAGAAGUACCGUGAGGGAAAGGUGAAAAGCACCCCGGGAGGGGAGUGAAAGAGAACCUGAAACCGUAUGCCUACAAGAAGAGGGAGCGAAAGUGACCUCGUGCCUUUUGAGUAAUGUGCCUGCGAGUGGUCGUAUCGGGCGAGGUUAAGCCGAGGAAGGCGGAGCCGGAGGGAAACCGAGUCUGAAGAGGGCGAGAUAGUCCGAUGCGAUCGACCCGAAGCCAGGUGAGCUACCCAUGUCCAGGGUGAAGGUGGGGUAAGACCCACUGGAGGCCCGAACCGGUGGACAGUAAAAAGUUUUCGGAUGAGAUGUGGGUAGGAGUGAAAAGCUAACCGAACCUGGUGAUAGCUGGUACUCCCCGAAACGUAUUGAGGUACGGCCUCAGGGGGUCCCUUGCGGGGGUAGAGCGCUGGAUGGGGUAGGGGAGCAAUCUCCGAACUCAACCAAACUGCGAAUACCGCAAGGAAGAACCUGGGAGACAGCCCGCGGGGGAUAAGCUCCGCGGACGAGAGGGAAACAACCCAGACCGUCGGCUAAGGUCCCGAAGAGAUCGCUUAGUGUGCAAGGAAGUGGUGUGUCCGAGACAGCUGGGAGGUUGGCUUAGAAGCAGCCAUCCUUGAAAGAGUGCGUAACAGCUCACCAGUUAAGACACGCUGCGCCGAAGAUAGAGGGGGCUGAAGCGAUUCACCGAAGCCGCGGAAUGUGCAAACAUUGGUAGGGGAGCAUUGCGCCGAGGGAGAAAGUCGUACUGAGAAGGCGGCUGGACGGAGCGCAAGGGAGGAUGCAGGCAUGAGUAACGAGAAGACGGUGAGAAUCCGUCUCCCCGAAAGCCUAAGGGUACCUGGGGAAGGGUCGUCCACCCAGGGUAAGCCGGUCCUAAGGCCAACCCGAAAGGGGUAACCGAUGGAAAGCCGGUAAAGAUUCCGGCGCCAGGAGUCCGGGAGGAACGAGCGGGGACACAGAAGGAUAGGCUCUGCGAAGAAAUGGGAAAUUCGUCCAAGCCUCGAGCCGAUGACGCGUGUAGGGAAGACCGCACGCGGAGGUAAGGGGUGAAGGGGAGUUCAUCGAAGGAUGGGCAACGGAGCUGAAUUCAUGCUGUCAAGAAAAGCCGCGCGAACCGGUGAACGGAAGCCUGACCGUUCUAGAAACCGACACAGGUAGGCUAGUUGAAAAGACUAAGGGGAGCGGGAGAACCUCCGCUAAGGAACUAGGCAAAAUAGCCCCGUAACUUCGGGAGAAGGGGUGCUCCUGCGGGUAUCAAAGCCUGCGGGAGCUGCAAUAACAAGGCUCUGGCGACUGUUUACCAAAAACACAGGACUCUGCGAACACGAAGAGUGGACGUAUAGGGUCUGACGCCUGCCCAGUGCUGGAAGGUUAAGGGGAGUGGUCAGCGCAAGCGAAGCUACGAACCGAAGCCCCAGUAAACGGCGGCCGUAACUAUAACGGUCCUAAGGUAGCGAAAUUCCUUGUCGGGUAAGUUCCG
rnacentral:rRNA from 1 species